GACCGCUUCGUUAAGGUGUUCGUGAUCGCUUUCUUGCUGUGACAGCAGCUGUUGUUCAUCCAGCAUUUGCUGGUGCAACUGCGGCAGCUCUUC
rnacentral:tRNA from 1 species